rnacentral:rRNA from 1 species
CCUACGGGUGGCUGCAGUGGGGAAUAUUGGACAAUGGGCGAAAGCCUGAUCCAGCCAUGCCGCGUGUGUGAAGAAGGCCUUUUGGUUGUAAAGCACUUUAAGCGAGGAGGAGGCUACUUGGAUUAAUACUCUAGGAUAGUGGACGUUACUCGCAGAAUAAGCACCGGCUAACUCUGUGCCAGCAGCCGCGGUAAUACAGAGGGUGCGAGCGUUAAUCGGAUUUGCGUGGCGGAAUGUUUAAGUCGGAGGCGAAAUCCCUGAGCUUAACUUAGGAAUUGCAUUCGAUACUGGGAAGCUAGAGUAUGGGAGAGGAUGGUAGAAUUCCAGGUGUAGCGGUGAAAUGCGUAGAGAUCUGGAGGAAUACCGAUGGCGAAGGCAGCCAUCUGGCCUAAUACUGACGCUGAGGUACGAAAGCAUGGGGAGCAAACAGGAUUAGAUACCCUUGUAGUC